rnacentral:rRNA from 1 species
CAGUCGCCACGGUAAUACAGAGGGUGCGAGCGUUAAUCGGAUUUACUGGGCGUAAAGCGUGCGUAGGCGGCUAAUUGAGUCGGAUGUGAAAUCCCAGAGCUUAACUUGGGAAUUGCAUUCGAUACUGGUUAGCUAGAGUGUGGGAGAGGAUGGUAGAAUUCCAGGUGUAGCGGUGAAAUGCGUAGAGAUCUGGAGGAAUACCGAUGGCGAAGGCAGCCAUCUGGCCUAACACUGACGCUGAGGUACGAAAGCAUGGGGAGCAAACAGGAUUAGAUACCCCCGUAGUCCCUGUCUCUUAUAC